rnacentral:rRNA from 1 species
UACGUAGGGUGCGAGCGUUAAUCGGAAUUACUGGGCGUAAAGCGUGCGCAGGCGGUUUUGUAAGCCAGAUGUGAAAGCCCCGGGCUUAACCUGGGAAUGGCAUUUGGGACUGCAAGGCUUGAGUGCGGCAGAGGAGACUGGAAUUCCUGGUGUAGCAGUGAAAUGCGUAGAUAUCAGGAGGAAUACCGAUGGCGAAGGCAGGUCUCUGGGCUGACACUGACGCUCAUGCACGAAAGCGUGGGGGAGCGAACAG